rnacentral:rRNA from 1 species
GGGUUGUGAGGUUAAGCGACUAAGCGUACACGGUGGAUGCCCUGGCAGUCAGAGGCGAUGAAGGGCGUACUAAUCUGCGAUAAGCGCCGGUAAGGUGAUAUGAACCGUUAUAACCGGCGAUACCCGAAUGGGGAAACCCAGUGUGAUUCGUCACACUAUCAUUAACUGAAUCCAUAGGUUAAUGAGGCGAACCGGGGGAACUGAAACAUCUAAGUACCCCGAGGAAAAGAAAUCAACCGAGAUUCCCCCAGUAGCGGCGAGCGAACGGGGAGGAGCCCAGAGCCUGAAUCAGCAUGUGUGUUAGUGGAAGCGUCUGGAAAGGCGCGCGAUACAGGGUGACAGCCCCGUACACAAAAGCGCAUGUGCUGUGAGCUCGAUGAGUAGGGCGGGACACGUGGUAUCCUGUCUGAAUAUGGGGGGACCAUCCUCCAAGGCUAAAUACUCCUGACUGACCGAUAGUGAACCAGUACCGUGAGGGAAAGGCGAAAAGAACCCCGGCGAGGGGAGUGAAAAAGAACCUGAAACCGUGUACGUACAAGCAGUGGGAGCACCCUUUGGGUGUGACUGCGUACCUUUUGUAUAAUGGGUCAGCGACUUAU